CAGUAGCCGCGGUAAUACGGAGGGUGCAAGCGUUAAUCGGAAUUACUGGGCGUAAAGCGCACGCAGGCGGUCUGUCAAGUCAGAUGUGAAAUCCCCGGGCUUAACCUGGGAACUGCAUUUGAAACUGGCAGGCUAGAGUCUUGUAGAGGGGGGUAGAAUUCCAGGUGUAGCGGUGAAAUGCGUAGAGAUCUGGAGGAAUACCGGUGGCGAAGGCGGCCCCCUGGACAAAGACUGACGCCCAGGUGCGAAAGCGUGGGGAGCAAACAGGAUUAGAGACCCCGGUAGUCCCUGUCUCUUAUAC
rnacentral:rRNA from 1 species